CCUACGGGAGGCAGCAGUGAGGAAUAUUGGUCAAUGGGCGAGAGCCUGAACCAGCCAAGUCGCGUGAGGGAGUACUGCCCUAUGGGUUGUAAACCUCUUUUGUCGGGGAGCAAAAGCCGGACGUGUCCGGCUGUGAGAGUACCCGAAGAAAAAGCAUCGGCUAACUCCGUGCCAGCAGCCGCGGUAAUACGGAGGAUGCGAGCGUUAUCCGGAUUUAUUGGGGUUAAAGGGUGCGCAGGCGGAUUUUUAAGUCAGCGGUCAAAUCGUGGGGCUCAACCCCAUCCAGCCGUUGAAACUGGGGAUCUAGAGUGUGCGAGAGGUAUGCGGAAUGCGUGGUGUAGCGGUGAAAUGCAUAGAUAUCACGCAGAACCCCGAUUGCGAAGGCAGCAUACCGGUGCACAACUGAUGCUCAGGCACGAAAGCGUGGGUAUCGAACAGGAUUAGAUACCCCAGUAGUC
rnacentral:rRNA from 1 species